GAAUUUUGGACAAUGGGCGAACGCCUGCUCCAGCAAUGCCGCGUGCAGGAUGAAGGACUUCGGGGUGUAAACUGCUUUUGUACGGAAGGAAAAGCUUUGGGUUAAUACCCUGGAGUCAUGACGGUACCGUAAGAAUAAGCACCGGCUAACUACGUGCCAGCAGCCGCGGUAAUACGUAGGGUGCAAACGGUAAUCGGAAUUACUGGUCGUAAAGCGUGCGCAGGCGGUUUUGUAAGACAGAGGUGAAAUCCCAGGGCUCAACCUGGGAACCGCCUUUGUGACUGCAAGGCUAGAGUACAGCAGAGGGGGGUGGAAUGCCGCGUGUAGCAGUGAAAUGCGUAGAUAUGCGGAGGAACACCGAUGGCGAAGGCAACCCCCUGGGCCUGUACUGACGCUCAUGCACGAAAGCGUGGGGAGCAAACA
rnacentral:rRNA from 1 species